UUCCUGUUGGUCCAGUGACUAAGACUCUGCACUCGCAAUGCAGGGGCCCAGGUUCAAUCCUUGGUCAGGAAC
rnacentral:tRNA from 1 species